rnacentral:rRNA from 1 species
CACGUAGGGGGCAAGCGUUGUCCGGAUUUAUUGGGCGUAAAGAGCUCGUAGGCGGUUCCGUAAGUCAGGUGUGAAACCUCCAGGCUCAACCUGGAGACGCCACCUGAUACUGCGGUGACUGGAGUCCGGUAGGGGAGCGUGGAAUUCCUGGUGUAGCGGUGAAAUGCGCAGAUAUCAGGAAGAACACCCGUGGCUAAGGCGGCUCUCUAGUACGGUACUGACGCUGAGACGCGAAAGCGUGGGGAGCGAACAGG